AUGGGAAAGACUAGAGAUCUCUUUAAGAAAAUCAGAGAUACCAGAGGAACUUUUCAGUGCAAAGAUAGGCAUAAUAAAGGACAGAAAUGGUGUGGACCUAACAGCAGAAGAGAUGAAGAAGAGGUGAAAGGAAUACACAGAACUGUACAAAAAGAUCUUCAUGACCCAGAUAAUCAUGAUGGUGUGAUCACUCACCUAGAGCCAGACAACAUGGAAUGCAAAAUAAACUGGCCCUUAGGAAGCAUCACUACAAACAGAGCUAGUGGAAAUAAUGGAAUUCCAGUUGAGCUAUUUCAUAUCUUAAAAGAUGAUGCUGUGAAAGUGCUGCACUCAGUAGGCCAGCAAAUUUGGAAAACUCAGCAGUGGCCACAGGACGGGAAAAGGUCAGUUUUCAUUCCAAUCCCAAAGAAAGGCAAUGUCAAAGAAUGCUCAAACUACUGCACAAUUGCACUCAUCUCACAUGCUAGUAAAGUAAUGCUCAAAAUUCUCCAUGCCAGGCUUCAGCAAUACGUGAACCGUGAACGUCCUGAUGUUCAAGCUGGUUUUAGAAAAGGCAGAGGAACCAGAGAUCAAAUUGCCAACAUCCACUGGAUCAUGGAAAAAGCAAGAGAGUUCCAGAAAAAAAACAUCUAUUUCUGCUUUAUUGACUCUGCCAAAGCCUUUGACUGUGUGGAUCACAAUAAACUGUGGAAAAUUCUGAACGAGAUGGGAAUACCACACUACCUAACCUGCCUCUUGAGAAACCUGUAUGCAGGUCAGGAAGCAACAAUUAGAACUGGACAGGGAACAACAGACUGGUUCCAAAUAAGAAAAGGAGUACAUCAAGGCUGUAUAUUGUCACCCUGCUUAUUUAACUUAUAUGCAGAGUACAUCAUGAGAAACGCUGGGCUGGAAGAAGCACAAGCUGGAAUCAAGAUUGCUGGGAGAAAUAUCAAUAACCUCAGAGAUGCAGAUGGCACCGCCCUUAUGGCAGAAAGUGAAGAGGAACUAAAAAGCCUCUUGAUGAAAAUAAAAGAGGAGAGCGAAAAUGUUGGCUUAAAGCUGAACAUUCAGAAAACGAAGAUCAUGGCAUCUGGUCCCAUCACUUCAUGGGAAAUAGAUGGGGAAACAGUAGAGAUAGUGUCCGACCUUAUUUUUGGGGGGUCCAAAAUCACUGCAGAUGGUGACUGCAGCCAUGAAAUUAAAAGACGCUUACUCCUUGGAAGAAAAUUUAUUACCAACCUAGAUAGUAUAUUCAAAAGCAGAGACAUUACUUUGCCGACUAAGGUCUGUCUAGUCAAGGCUAUGGUUUUUCCUGUGGUCAUGUAUGGAUGUGAGAGUUGGACUGUGAAGAAGGCUGAGCACCAAAGAAUUGAUGCUUUUGAACUGUGA
rnacentral:lncRNA from 1 species